UACGUAGGGUGCAAGCGCUAAUCGGAAUUACUGGGCGUAAAGCGUGCGCAGGCGGUCUUGCAAGACAGAUGUGAAAUCCCCGGGCUCAACCUGGGAACUGCAUUUGUGACUGCAAGGCUGGAGUACGGUAGAGGGGGAUGGAAUUCCGCGUGUAGCAGUGAAAUGCGUAGAUAUGCGGAGGAACACCGAUGGCGAAGGCAAUCCCCUGGACCUGUACUGACGCUCAUGCACGAAAGCGUGGGGAGCAAACAGG
rnacentral:rRNA from 1 species